GAAUUAGGGUUGUUUAGUGUAGGGGAGAGAAAGAUGGAAUUUUAGAAUUGGGGGGUUUUGAGAAGGGAAAGUCCGAAAUUAAAAUCAAAAGGGAAAAACUUACCUGAAGCGCGGUAGGUGCGCGGUCGCACACUUGAGGCAGUACACUUGUGAAAAUGCGCGACCAGGUGUGCGGUCACCCCAUAAUAUGUGCGGCCGCACACGUCCCACUUCGUAUAACAUUGGCGACCAAAUGCGUGAGGUUCCCCCCAGGUGACUCAACCAGGUAUCCUCAACUAAUUUUGAUGCUCAGGGAUUACUGAGCAAAUUCUCCAGCAAUAUACGGUUUUAGUUUGUGCCCAUUCACUUUGAAACUUUCCGUUCCGUCUUGGUUCUGGAUCUCAAUUGCCCCAUAUGGUGAUACAUGUUUCACCACAUACGGUCCGGUCCAUCUAGACCUAAAUUUUCUGGGGAAUAGUCUGAGUUUACUAUUGUACAGUAAGACUUUGUCCCCUUCAUGAAACUCAUUUGGCUUAAUGAGACGAUCAUGCCUCCUUUUAGUCUUUUCUUGAAAAUCCGUGCAUUUUCAUACGCGUCCAGUCUAAACUCCCGUGUUCUUGGAAAAACGGUUAGUGCUUCUCUUAAGGAUUGUUCGGCAAAGUUGGAAGAAGCUCUAUGGGUGCACAAAACUGCGUUCAAAACAACUAUAGGGACUUCACCAUUCAAACUAGUGUAUGGAAAAUCAUAUCACCUACCCGUUGAGAUAGAACAUAAAGCUUAUUAGGCAAUGAAGAUGCUUAAUCUUGAUCUUAGUCUUGUAGGUGAACACAGGUUGGCGCAGAUGAAUGCAUUGGAGUUUAGACUGGACGCGUAUGAAAAUGCAAUUGUUCUUAAUGGUCUGGAUGACUCCCUGUUUGAGUUCAAAAUUGUUGGCAAUGAUUGGUAGAGUCCUCAAACUAGACUGUUGUUGGUAGUACACCGGUUUAGAAUAUCUCCUAGCGAUCUCCCAGGCCUCAGAACUACAUUUUAAAAUUCAUCCUCGAUCAUGUUUUGGUUGGGAUUGAACCUUCGACCCCCAUCAUCCGUUUAAUCUACAAUUCUACCGUCUGCUUCAGCUGCUAAUCGUGCUUCCUGUUGCUGAGCUACCUCUUUCGUAUCUAGGUCCACAACUUCUUUGUUGUUCACCAUUGUAUUUUGAGUUGAAGGCUGACCUAACAACAAUCCACUCGAUCAUUUCUCUCUUCUCAACUGCCUCAAGUGCUUGUCUAACUCUGGGUCGUAUGGCACCAAAUCCUUUGAAGAGGAUCGAGUCAUAUACCACUGAACUUAACAUGUUUCCUGCACACAGAUGAGAAGAGCGUAAAAAAAUAAAAAUAAAAUAAAGUUGUUCCUGAAUUAGCACUGAAAAUUAAUUUAAACACUAUUAAUCGCCUAUUCCCGGCAACGACGCCAAAAUUUGAUGAGCGCAAAACCGGUGUAUAAAACUUAGGCUCGCUAGUCAAAGAUAGUAUUGUAUUAAAUCGUCUCCAUAAGGAUUAGUUUAAAUAAUGUUAUAAUAAAUCUUCAACUCAAUACUAUCCAGGAUAAUAAACCUUUGAUUGAUGUUAUUAUCGUACAAAUAAAACUAAGAUUAUCAAUUGUAAGAAACUAAUGACACUUUAAUGACUAGUAGCAAUGAUUUAAUAUCAGGGUGAGAAGUAAGGGUUGUGACAAGAUAUGUGAUCAACUAAUGUUCCGGGUAACUCUGGGUUAAGUUCAUUCUUAACUUCUAUUGACUCCUUCGAUUUCAGCAGAUGAUUAGGCUACUUUAGGGAUUCAAAUUCUUAUUCUGAAUGAAUGAGAUUCCUUUGAUCAACCUAAUAACAGGUCAUAUGAACAUAUGCACAAAAUAGUGAAUGAAUGAUCUUUCGACGAACAUCUCUCGAUUAUUCUUCUAAACUGAGUCAAUUGAUAACUCUCUAAACUCUUUCGAUCACCUAGAAGAGGCGUAAAAUCAACCCAAACAAUAUGGAACAAUGCGAAUAUCAGUAAAACCUCUCCUUCGAUUAAAGUAAACCCACAAUAAGCCUUGCUAUUUAAUUAAUAACCCAUUUAAUGAAUUCGGGCAGUUAACAUAGAGUAAAACCCAAAACGAUAGUCAAAUCACAACAUCCGUAAAUAACCCUACGAAAGAUUACUCCAUAAUGGAGAAAGUAUUCAUCGCAAGAGUAUUAGAAGACCAAGAAGACAUUACAAUUUCCAAAUUCAAACAAACUUCUGUAUUGAAUGAAUUUGAUCAAGUAUUUUGCGUUUUCGUUGCUUCCUUCCUUCUUCUCUCCCAAAAGUUGUUCUAAAAAUCUAAGAUACCCUCUUUUUAGACAAGCUGGGCUUCAUAUAGGUCAAGAUGAGUCGCCUCUAAAAUUACAAAAUAGGCUUGGAAAUGUUUUCCGGACUGGACAUGCGCGACCUCGCACUUGGGCAGGUGAUCGUGCAUAUGGCCGCACACUUUGGACAGUGUUCUGCUCCACUAGUGCGCCCAGUGCGCGGUCGCGCACCUAGGUGGCUUCCUGCUAUUUAAUUCCAGUUUCUCUUCGUUAAGUGGAUUAUUGUCCGUUGAUCCUCGAUUACGAUCCCGACGUAAUCCAUGGGCUUUUACUCAUACUUCAAAGAUCCAAAAUAGCUCGAAUUCGCUCCACAACAUCAUCGUAACUCGAAAUUGCUCCUACAAAGCAUAAAACACACACUCAGUGCAAAAUAAUACCAUUUAAAGCUCAAACACUAGUAAAGUACAGCAAAUUAGAGUGCAAUUGAUGGCCAAAAUACAUAAUUAUAGCCUACCAUCAGGCAACCAAAACUUCUAAGGAAAGUAUAAUGAGGAGGUUUGUAAAAAAGAACCUCAUAAAGGGGUUUUGUAUUGAAGAAUCUUGGUAGGGAACCUGUUUAUUAGGAAGGUAGAAGUCAACAAGCACUCACCCAAUAGCAAAUACGGACUUUGGACUGAAAUAUUAGGGCUCUACAUGUUUCCAAGAGGUAUUUGUGCUUCCUUUCUACAAUACCAUCUUGUUGAAGGGUGGCAACACAUGAGGUCUGGUGAAUGAUGCCUUUAGAAAUAAAGUAAACAGUAGUAGAAUUACUGCCCAGUUCAAGGGCAUUGUCUGACCUAAUCUUUUUAAUUUUGGUGUUAAAACUGUGUUUCAACCAUAGAAAUAAAAGACUGCAAAACAGUAAAGGCAUUGCUUUUAGUAAUAAACAUGUAGGUCCAAGUACCCCUACCAUAGUCAUCUACUAUAGUGAGGAAGUACUUAAAGCCAUCAUGAGUAUUGCUUUAUAUGUUCCCCAUGUAUCUAUAUGAAUCAAUUCAAAAAUAUGUGAGGUGAAACUGGUACUAAUGGGAAAAGGCAAUUUGUGUUGUCUAGCCAAAGGACAUAUAGUACAAGGAAAAUCAUUCAUACUAGAGUUGUGCUGCAUACAACCAGGAAUAUACUUCAUUCUUGAUUGAGGCAAAUGCCCCAAUCUAAUGUUCCAUAAAUCGCUGCAAGAAUAAGUACAAUUAGACAUAGAAAUAAUGGAAUUAGACACUGAAUGUAAAGUAUGAGACUUAGCAGACACUUUAUUAGAAAAAAAUUGAGAAUCUAAAGUUUUCUGAGCUAUUUGUAGGGAAUCAGAGGAAGCAACAGGAUGAUGAGUAGAAUGAAGAAGAUACAGUCCAGCCUGGAUUUCACCAAGAACCAGAGGCCUCCUUAAGGAAAGGCCCUGCAAGAAACAAGAAGAAUCACUGAAGUAUUUUUAGCAUUUUGUGGAUACCCAUGGAGCUUAAAACAUCUCUCAAUAGUAUGACCUAGCUUCUGGAAAUAGUUACAAAAAAGAUUCUUUCAUUGUUCCUAGUUAUUUUUGUAAGGGACAGCCCCAUUCCCUCUAUUAGGAUUAGGUUUCUGCCUGCCUUGACCAAAAUAUUGCCCAGGCACAACAAAUGAACUAGAAUCACUAGGAUAUUGAGCUAUAAUUUGUAUACUCCUCUGUCGUUCUUCUUGUAAUAGUAAGUAAUAUGCUCUGUCAAUGGUUGGGGAAGGUUGCAUCAUCAUGAUGUUUCCUCUAAUUCCAAUGUAUGUCUCGUUUAAUCCCAUCAGAAACUAAACUAAUUUUUGUCUUUCUUCAAUUUCAUGAUUCUUCUCAAUUGUACUACACUUACAGUC